rnacentral:rRNA from 1 species
AUGUAUACCCUAUCGGAAAGUGUCCAUGGGGACUUUGAUCGGGUUCUAGCAAGGUUCUUUUGGCAGGAUGCGAAUGGCCGCCCAAAAUACCACAUGGUCAAGUGGGCGGAUAUCUACAUGCCCAAGGACAGGGGCGGUCUAGGCAUUAUCGCCUCUCACCGCAUGAAUGUCGCACUCAUGCUGCAUUGGGUGUGUCGGAUCCUACAUGGUGAGGGUGGUCUUUGGCUUCAGCUGACCCAGACUCUCCUGGCUUGCUCUCGACGCGCUGGAUCCCAAUUCUGGAAGUCUAUCCAAAAGAUUGGAGGAAAUUCGUCUGGGUGUCACCUUCUCAGUUGGCAAUGGGAGGGCCACCCAGUUCUGGCUCGACUCGUGGUUAGAGGGGGAGAGGUUGCGCUUGGGCUUCCCUAG